UUAAUAGGAGCAAGGCACUACUGACCAGUCUCAGUGGAGAGAGAGAGAGUGUUGGAACACAGGGAGUGAAACAUUCAAGACUCAAAUGUCUACAAUCAGUGGAGAUGUAUUGCUGAUGUCAGCAUUCAUGGUGUAUGGAGGUUACUUUGAUCAACAGUUUCGUCACAGUCUCUUCACCUCUUGGGCCACUCACCUCCAGAAGGCUAGGAUAUCUUUUAGCCUGAUCUAGCAAGAGUUGAAAGGUUUGAUCAUUACUGUGAGUACAAGAGGACUCCCAAUGGAGUUGUGAUGGCUCCUUCUCAACUCGGAAAGUGGCUGGUUCUCUUCUCUGACGAGAUUAACCUUCCAGACCUUGACAAAUAUGGUACACAGAGAGUAAUAUCGUUCUUACGUCAGAUUGUCGAGCAUGGCGGAUUUUACAGGACCUCCGAUCACACGUGGUGACAAUAGAGAGGAUACAGUUUGUAGGAGCGUGUAACCCACCGACUGACCGGGGAAGGAAACCACUGUCUCACAGAACUAAGAACCCUGUCAGGAAACACUCUCAUUAUUUCAUACUCAAUCCCUCUAGGACGUUGAGAGCUACGACCCAAUCCUGAACCCUGUGCUCAAUAGAGAAGUAAAGAAGACUGGAGGACGAGUUCUUAUAACUCUUGGAGAUCAGGAGAUUGACUGGUCACUUUCUUUCACCAUUUUCCUUUCAACGAGGGAUCCUUCUGUUGAAUUCCCUCCUGAUCUUUGCUCUAGAGUCACUUUUGUUAAUUUCACUGUCACAAGGAGCAGUCUACAGAGCCAGUGCCUUAAU